UUCCUUACAUAUCCCCGUUCUCUUUCACCGGCAGCACCGUGGACAGUAGCUGUGAGGAAGCAACUCGAAUAUGUCGUCUUUCAUCGACGAAAAACAUUUAUGCCUCAACAAGAAGUUUUCUACGCGUGAGCCGCCAUGAAAAGGUUGAUACUGGAAUGAGCUUCAUCUCUCAUCCAACGACCGCGGACCGGAUUUUCAUCCUAAUAAAUGGGCGGUGGAUUUUCUGACCUACAUGAAAUGAACCCCAAAGGGAGGUUGAAUUCAUUGAGGUGUGAACAUCAGUGCAAGACUGAGGGGAGAAAUUGGUGCUGAAAGAUUGAACAG